AGCGAACGCUGGCGGCAGGCCUAACACAUGCAAGUCGAACGAACCUUUCGGGGUUAGUGGCGGACGGGUGAGUAACACGUGGGAACGUGCCUUUAGGUUCGGAAUAACUCAGGGAAACUUGUGCUAAUACCGAAUGUGCCCUUCGGGGGAAAGAUUAAUCGCCUUUAGAGCGGCCCGCGUCUGAUUAGCUAGUUGGUUGAGGUAAUGGCUCACCAAGGCGACGAUCAGUAGCUGGUCUGAGAGGAUGAUCAGCCACAUUGGGACUGAGACACGGCCCAAACGCGUGGGGGGGGCGGGGGGGGGGAAUCUUGGGGAGGGGGCGAAAGCCAGACACGGCCAGGCCGGGAGAAGGAAGAGGGGUUUGGAAUUGGAAAUUUCUUUCCCCGGGGAGGGAAAGAAGGGAACCGGGAAAGAAGACCCGGGUAAAUUUGUG
rnacentral:rRNA from 1 species